GGGGGUUCUGUUUGAUGUGAAGCCCCCGGGCUCAACCGGGGAGGGUCAUUGGAAACUGGGAGACUUGAGUGCAGAAGAGGAGAGUGGAAUUCCAUGUGUAGCGGUGAAAUGCGUAGAUAUAUGGAGGAACACCAGUGGCGAAGGCGGCUCUCUGGUCUGUAACUGACGCUGAGGCUCGAAAGCGUGGGGAGCAAACAGGAUUAGAUACCCUGGUAGUCCACGCCGUAAACGAUGAGUGCUAAGUGUUGGAGGGUUUCCGCCCUUCAGUGCUGCAGCUAACGCAUUAAGCACUCCGCCUGGGGAGUACGACCGCAAGGUUGAAACUCAAAGGAAUUGACGGGGGCCCCACAACGGUGGAGCAUGUGGUUUAAUUCAAGCAACGCGAAGAACCUUACCAGGUCUUGACAUCCUUUGACCACUCUAGAGAUAGAGCUUCCCCUUCGGGGGCAAAGUGACAGGUGGUGCAUGGUUGUCGUCAGCUCGUGUCGUGAGAUGUUGGUUAAUCCCCAACACGCAACCCUUAUUGUUAGUUGCCAUCAUUUAUUGGGCACUCUACCAAGACUGCGGGACAACCGAGGAAGGUGGGGAUGACGUCAAAUCAAUCUCCCCUUA
rnacentral:rRNA from 1 species